CCUACGGGGGGCAGCAGUGAGGAAUAUUGGUCAAUGGACGCAAGUCUGAACCAGCCAUGUCGCGUGCAGGAUGACGGCUCUAUGGGUUGUAAACUUCUUUUAUAUGGGGAUAAAAUUAUCCACGUGUGGAUUUUUGUAUGUACCGUAUGAAUAAGGAUCGGCUAACUCCGUGCCAGCAGCCGCGGUAAUACGGAGGAUCCAAGCGUUAUCCGGAUUUAUUGGGUUUAAAGGGUGCGUAGGUGGUUUUUUAAGUCAGUGGUGAAAGUUUGGGGCUCAACCGCAAAAGUGCAGGUGAAACUGGAAGACUUGAGUAUAGUAGAGGUAGGCGGAAUGAGUGGUGUAGCGGUGAAAUGCGUAGAUAUCACGAAGAACUCCGAUUGCGAAGGCAGCUUACUAAACUAUAACUGACACUGAGGCACGAAAGUGUGGGGAUCAAACAGGAUUAGAUACCCGGGUAGUC
rnacentral:rRNA from 1 species